GUUCCUAUUUCAGAAGGUUGUUUUCUCCUCUGGAUUUCGACUCGCGAACAAUCGCACAUGUCGGACAACUGCAGCGCUUCGUAUCGCAUCUGCCGGAGCGCUGCUUUUCUUUCGGUA
rnacentral:sRNA from 1 species